GGACUACAGGGGUUUCUAAUCCUGUUUGCUCCCCACGCUCUCGCGCCUCAGCGUCAGUGUCUGUCCAGAUAGCCGCCUUCGCCACUGGUGUUCCUUCCGAUAUCUACGCAUUUCACCGCUACACCGGAAAUUCCACUAUCCUCUACAGCACUCUAGCGUACCAGUAUCAGAUGCAGUUCCUAGGUUAAGCCCAGGGAUUUCACAUCUAACUUAAUACACCGCCUACGCGCCCUUUACGCCCAGUAAUUCCGAUUAACGCUCGCACCCUCUGUAUUACCGCGGCUGCUGGCAC
rnacentral:rRNA from 1 species